UACGAGAGGCCCAAACGUUAUUCGGAUUUACUGGGCUUAAAGAGUUCGUAGGCGGCGCAGAAAGUAGGGUGUGAAAGCCCUCGGCUCAACCGAGGAAUUGCGCUUUAAACUACUGUGCUUGAGGAACCUAGAGGUGAGCGGAACUGAUGGUGGAGCGGUGAAAUGCGUUGAUAUCAUCAGGAACACCGGAGGCGAAGGCGGCUCACUGGGGGCUAUCUGACGCUGAGGAACGAAAGCCAGGGGAGCGAACGGG
rnacentral:rRNA from 1 species